rnacentral:rRNA from 1 species
GUGGGGACACGUGCAGAGAGCGGAAGCCGGGAAUGGGAUCCCGGUGCAAGCGAGGUACCAGCCGCAUUGGAAAAACCGUGCGGCAAUGGGAAGACGUGAUGCGGAGUGAAGUUUAGUAAUGAAGUCCGUGAGCUGUGCGUCAAGAAAAGCCGCUAUUGUUCAUACCAUACCCGUACCGUAAACCGACACAGGUGGAUGAGGAGAGAAUCCUAAGGCCGGCGGAAGAAGCAUUGUCAAGGAACUCGGCAAAAUGACCCCGUAACUUCGGGAGAAGGGGUGCCUGCGAGAGCAGGCCGCAGAGAAUAGGCUCAAGCAACUGUUUAGCAAAAACACAGGUCUAUGCGAAACCGAAAGGUGAGGUAUAUGGGCUGACGCCUGCCCGGUGCUGGAAGGUUAAGAGGAGAGGUUAGCGGUAACGCGAAGCUUUGAAUUUAAGCCCCAGUAAACGGCGGCCGUAACAAUAACGGUCCUAAGGUAGCGAAAUUCCUUGUCGGGUAAGUUCCGACCCGCACGAAAGGCGUAAUGAUUUGAGCGCUGUCUCGACAAUGCAUCCGGUGAAAUUGAAGUACCAGUGAAGAUGCUGGUUACCUGCGCCAGGACGGAAAGACCCCAUGGAGCUUUACUCCAGUUUGGUACUGGGAUCCGGUACUGCAUGUACAGGAUAGGUGGGAGGCUGAGAAUCGGUAACGCCAGUUGCCGAGGAGCCGCUGUUGGGAUACCACCCUUGCAGUAUUGGGUUUCUAACCAGCCGCCGUGACCCGGCGGUGGGACAAUGCCAGACGGGGAGUUUGACUGGGGCGGUCGCCUCCGAAAGGGUAUCGGAGGCGCCCAAAGGUUCCCUCAGGAUGGACGGAAACCAUCCAAAGAGUGCAAAGGCAGAAGGGAGCUUGACUGCGACACCGACGGGUGGAGCAGGUACGAAAGUAGGGCUUAGUGAUCCGGUGGUAUUAAGUGGGAAUGCCAUCGCUCAACGGAUAAAAGCUACCCUGGGAUAACAGGCUUAUCACUCCCAAGAGUUCACAUCGACGGAGUGGUUUGGCACCUCGAUGUCGGCUCAUCGCAUCCUGGGGCUGUAGUAUGUCCCAAGGGUUGGGCUGUUCGCCCAUUAAAGCGGUACGCGAGCUGGGUUCAGAACGUCGUGAGACAGUUCGGUCCCUAUCCGGCGUGGGCGUAGGAUAUCUGAGAGGAGCUGUCCUUAGUACGAGAGGACCGGGAUGGACGGGCCGCUGGUGCACCGGUUAGACUGCCAAGUCUAUAGCCGGGUAGCCAAGCCCGGAAGGGAUAAACGCUGAAGGCAUCUAAGCGUGAAGCCCCCCUCAAGAUGAGAUAUCCCAUCCGAAAGGAGUAAACCCCCUUGAAGACGACGAGGUCGAUAGGGCAGAGGUGGAAGUGUGGUAACACAUGGAGCUGACUGCUACUAAUAGGGUGAGGGCUUGACCU